UCUAUUGAAACAUUACCAUGUCUGUUGAGGUUGAAGAACUUGAGGACUCUAUCAGCUGUUGGCUGCAAGAAGUUAACCGAGAUUCAAGGUGUGGAUGAGUUGGAAUCCUUAGAGGAGUUGGAUGUUAGUCGGUGUAUUUCUAUUAAAACAUAACCAUGUCUAUCAAGGUU